CCUACGGGUGGCAGCAGUGAGGAAUAUUGGUCAAUGGGCGGAAGCCUGAACCAGCCAAGUCGCGUGAGGGAAUAAGGCCCUACGGGUCGUAAACCUCUUUUGCCGGGGAGCAAGGGCGGGGACGUGUCCCGGCCCGGAUAGUACCCGGAGAAAACGCAUCGGCUAACUCCUUGCCAGCAGCCGCGGUAAUCCGGAGGAUGCGAGCGUUCUCCGGAUUUAUUGGGUUUAAAGGGUGCGUAGGCGGGCUUUUAGGUCAGCGUUAAAAAUUCGGGGCUCAACCCCGUCCGGCCGUUGAAACUGGGGGCCGUGAGGGGGGGAGAAGAAGGCGGAAUGCGUGGUGUAGCGGUGAAAUGCAUAGAUAUCAAGCAGAACCCCGAUUGCGAGGCAGCCUGCCGGAGCCCGACCGACGCUGAGGCACGAAAGUGCGGGGAUCGAACAGGAUUAGAUACCCCGGUAGUC
rnacentral:rRNA from 1 species